GAUGAACGCUGGCGGCGUGCCUAAUACAUGCAAGUCGAGCGAACGGACGCGAAGCUUGCUUCUCUGAUGUUAGCGGCGGACGGGUGAGUAACACGUGGAUAACCUACCUAUAAGACUGGGAUAACUUCGGGAAACCGGAGCUAAUACCGGAUAAUAUUUUGAACCGCAUGAUUCAAAAGUGAAAGACGGUCUUGCUGUCACUUAUAGAUGGAUCCGCGCUGCAUUAGCUAGUUGGUAAGGUAACGGCUUACCAAGGCAACGAGGCAUAGCCGACCUGAGAGGGUGAUCGGCCACACUGGAACUGAGACACGGUCCAGACUCCUACGGGAGGCAGCAGUAGGGAAUCUUCCGCAAUGGGCGAAAGCCUGACGGAGCAACGCCGCGUGAGUGAUGAAGGUCUUCGGAUCGUAAAACUCUGUUAUUAGGGAAGAACAUAUGUGUAAGUAACUGUGCACAUCUUGACGGUACCUAAUCAGAAAGCCACGGCUAACUACGUG
rnacentral:rRNA from 1 species